ACCGCUCAGUAACACGUAGUCAACCUAACCUAUGGACGGGAAUAACCUCGGGAAACUGAGAAUAAUGCCCGAUAGAACACUAUACCUGGAAUGGUUUGUGUUCCAAAUGAUUUAUCGCCAUAGGAUGGGACUGCGGCCUAUCAGUUUGUUGGUGAGGUAAUGGCCCACCAAGACUAUUACAGGUACGGGCUCUGAGAGGAGUAGCCCGGAGAUGGGUACUGAGACACGGACCCAGGCCCUAUGGGGCGCAGCAGGCGAGAAAACUUUGCAAUGUGCGAAAGCACGACAAGGUUAAUCCGAGUGAUUUGUGCUAAACGAAUCUUUUGUUAGUCCUAGAAACACUAACGAAUAAGGGGUGGGCAAGUUCUGGUGUCAGCCGCCGCGGUAAAACCAGCACCUCAAGUGGUCAGGAUGAUUAUUGGGCCUAAAGCAUCCGUAGCCGGCUCUGUAAGUUUUCGGUUAAAUCUGUACGCUUAACGUACAGGCUGCCGGGAAUACUGCAAAGCUAGGGAGUGGGAGAGGUAGACGGUACUCGGUAGGAAGUGGUAAAAUGCUUUGAUCUAUCGAUGACCACCUGUGGCGAAGGCGGUCUACCAGAACACGUCCGACGGUGAGGGAUGAAAGCUGGGGGAGCAAACCGGAUUAGAUACCCGGGUAGUCCCAGCUGUAAACUAUGCAAACUCAGUGAUGCAUUGGCUUGUGGCCAAUGCAGUGCUGCAGGGAAGCCGUUAAGUUUGCCGCCUGGGAAGUACGUACGCAAGUAUGAAACUUAAAGGAAUUGGCGGGGGAGCACCACAAGGGGUGAAGCCUGCGGUUCAAUUGGACUCAACGCCGGU
rnacentral:rRNA from 1 species